AACGAACGCUGACGGCGUGCUUAACACAUGCAAGUCGCACGAGAAUUUCCGCCUUCGGGUGGAAUAGUAAAGUGGCGCACGGGUGAGUAACGCGUGGAUAAUCUGCCUUCAAGUAGGGAAUAACAUUGCGAAAGCGAUGCUAAUACCGUAUAAGCUCACGAUUUGACUAGUUGUGGGAAAAGAUGGCCUAGUCUAUGCUAUCGCUUGAAGAUGAGUCCGCGUACCAUUAGCUAGUUGGUAGGGUAAUGGCCUACCAAGGCUACGAUGGUUAGCUGGCCUGAGAGGGCGGCCAGUCACACUGGAACUGAGACACGGUCCAGACUCCUACGGGAGGCAGCAGUGGGGAAUAUUGCGCAAUGGGGGAAACCCUGACGCAGCGACGCCGUGUGAGUGAUGAAGGUUUUCGGAUCGUAAAGCUCUGUCGGGUGGAAAGAAUAAAGGCUGUGUAAAUAAUGCAGUCUGAUGACGGUACCACCAAAGGAAGCACCGGCUAACUCCGUGCCAGCAGCCGCGGUAAUACGGAAGGGUGCAAGCGUUGUUCGGAAUUAUUGGGCGUAAAGGGCGUGUAGGCGGGUAUGCAGGUCAGGUGUGAAAUCCCUCGGCUCAACCGAGGAAGUGCAUCUGAAACCGCGUAUCUUGAGUACGAGAGAGGCAGGUGGAAUUCCCAGUGUAGAGGUGAAAUUCAUAGAUAUUGGGAAGAACACCGGUGGCGAAAGCGGUCUGCUGGCUCGAUACUGACGCUGAGACGCGAAAGCGUGGGGAGCAAACAGGAUUAGAUACCCUGGUAGUCCACGCCGUAAACGAUGUGCACUAGGUGUUGGGGGUAAUUAAACCCUCAGUGCCGCAGCUAACGCAUUAAGUGCACCGCCUGGGGAUUACGGUCGCAAGACUAAAACUCAAAGGAAUUGACGGGGGCCCGCACAAGCGGUGGAGCAUGUGGUUCAAUUCGACGCAACGCGAAGAACCUUACCUGGAUUUGACAUCCUUUGACAGCUCCGGAAACGGAGUCUUCCCUGCUUGCAGGGACAGAGUGACAGGUGCUGCAUGGCUGUCGUCAGCUCGUGUCGUGA
rnacentral:rRNA from 1 species